GUAAAAACCCUAUUUGUAAACAACCAGUCCUUUUAACUCGGGGCUGCGUCAUAAACACGGCGCGCUUGGAAGACCACGAUGUCAUCUUCCUUCUGUCAGGAGGAUCCCAGUGAAGCUACAGGAGUUUCAUUAACGUCAACAACUUGGACCGAACGGUUUGUUUUGCUUGAUGAAGAGCAGGAAGGGCAGAUUGGAGAGAAAGAGAAGCCGGGUUGAGCCCACUACCAUCAUCCACGUACCACGAGGAAGAUGAGGGAGAGAAAUGAUCCUACCAUUAAAGAGACUGUGAAAAGAACGUUGAGAACAUCACCACUCUACAGGAAGACACAGUCCAGUAAUGGGUGUCAGAAUUUCAGUAGUGAACGACAGGUACUGUGGAAAAAUGUGUGUCAUUGUUGUACAAUGUCCUUUGACUCUGUUUACACAAGGUUAACACAAAAAGGUUUGAUUGUAAACUGAUAUUGGUAUGAAUUCAUGUUAUUCUCCUCUUCACAAGAAACAAACAAUCCAAAUUACCUGCAGAAAGCCCUUGAUGGACGCUUCAGCUGCAUCGUCAGACAGGCCAGACAGCAAGAUGCCAACUUUAAUGCCAAUUUAUUUGUGUAACAUUCUGUGACCAAAUGUAUAGAUAACUUUUUGUAGAUUGUAAAAAAGAUAACCCAUUUAUUAAAAAAAAACUACACUAGAAUUACCGCACUGCGUUGUAUGACUCCGCUAACCAGUGCAGUGUCCGUCUACAUAUUUCUACAUAUUUUCUCUCGUAUAAAUGACACUGUGUCUCUUGACAACUGAAACCAUAAGAUGAGGUCAGUGUGGCCUUGACCUUUUGACUUUAACACAAAUACACAGUUAGACAAUCCGAAAACAUACAGUUAUGCCAAAAUAUAUUUUGUUUCACAUUCUAGAUGGCAUAAGCAGAGACAUCAACUCAGGAAAAAUAUUUCUGUAGAAAAGAAA